rnacentral:misc_RNA from 1 species
AGCUGCUGGCGGGGCCGACC